UUUAUUUUUUAGUUUUUCUCCUAAUUUUUUUUCUCUUCGAUCACUGGUUCCCCCAAAUUUCUACCAGAGAAAAGUUUAAAACUUCCUUGCAAAUUUCGUUUCCCUCCCAAAAUCCAUGAAUUUCCCUCACCAAACUAGAAGUUCUCUCCACAUCUUCACCACUCUGCUCUCUCUAGUUGUGUUGUCCCUCCACCAAAUCGACCAUCUUAUGCAUCAACGUGAUGACCUACCGAUUCAGACCACCUCCAUUUAAUCUAUCACUUGGCGACGAAUCAAUGCGCCACCAGACGGGCAGCCUCCUCUGUUCAACGAUACCUAUACCACUAGUCUAGACCAUCGACGUCAUACGGUUGUGGCGCGCCAUGUUACUCAACAUUCGCCUCAUGCUACUGUCACUUUGAUACGGUUGGGUAAGCUAUUUAGUCAUGGGAUAAUGUUUAAUAGCUAUGUUGUUCAAAACUCGAAGGUUUGAAGAUGCACACCAACUGUUCGUUGAAAUGCUUCAACCAAAUUACAGAACUAUUUUAAGGUUUUAUUGCAUCUUGUUUUAUAAAUAAAAGCAAAUUUCUUGUUGUUAUUAGCUUGGAAAAUGCUUGUUCAAGUUUUCUUGAUUAAAAAGAGAUGUUUGUUCUGAAUAUGAGAAAAGCUCGAUGAUGUCAACUAGUAAUUGAAAUGUUUGGUAGAAUUGGUGGGGGCCCGGUUGAUUUUCCAUGUGAAAUUAACUUAAUAAUAUUAUGCUCCAAGUGUUUGAAGAGAUGUUUCAAACAGAUUUUGGAUAUGAACUAACAUUGGGUACAGUUAGGGUGCAGACCAUGUGACUAGGGGUGCAAACGAGUCGAGUCGAGCCCAGGCUCGAGCUUGAUUAACUUAUGAGAGCUCAGGCUCGAGCUCGGCUCGAUUCGAGCUUUGUUUUCAAAGCUCGAGCUCGGCUCGAUUCGAGCUUUGUUUUCAAAGCUCGAGCUCGGCUCGUUUGUAUUUUCUCAAGCUCGAGCUCGGCUCGUUUAUUAUCUAUUAAUUAAUAAAUUAAAUAAAAAUAAUACAAAUAAUAGACUUUUAAGGCUCGCGAGCUCGAUAAGUGAAGCUCGGGCUCGGCCUCGUUUACUAAAUAAUCUUAUUUUUAGGCUUAAGCUCGGCUCGGACUCGAUAAGACUCGGCUCGUUUCGAACUUUUUCUCGAGCCGAUCUCGAGUAGCUCACAAGCCGCUCGGCUUGUUUGCACCCCUAGGUGUUGUAGGUUAAGAAUUUUGGCGUUCCUAAUUUUCAUGAGAUUACGUUGAUAACUAUGGCUAGAUUACACUAGUGUUUUAACAAAAAAAUAAAAUAUAAAAAUAAAUGUGAAGAUUGUUAUCACUAGUGGUAUACACCAUGAUUUAUGUUAUCGAACAAAUUAAUUAUCAAUAGAAUCACAGUUUAUGUGUCUUUGCAUGCUACUUCAAGUCAGGAAGUGUCUCUAAUUGAUUUCAGUAAAAAAAUUACCGUAGUACAAUUGUACAAAUGGCGUUAUUAACUUGAAGUAGAUGAAAAUGGAUUGGGUUCCGUAGAUUCCUUUAAGAAAAUAGUAGUCAUUUUGGUAACUUUGCAACUACAGUUCCAAGUUUGUUUCUUAAAUCAAAUCUAGAUUACUUUUUCAGCUAACAUUAGUGAUUUCAACUUAUUUUGGGUUAGUUUUUGAACCUUUUUUUUAAUAAACAUGCACAAGUUUUCCUUUUCUUUGUUCAAUGGUCAGACUACCACCUUGUAGGUGCUCUCGAACUGUUGAGGAUUUUGAUAUUCUCAUGUCAAAAAUUCAAAUCCGUUAACGUAUUUUCGUUCUAGGUUUAUAACUUAAAACCAUAAACAUAGUGAGGGUGAGUCUACUAAACCAAAUUUAAAUGUUUGUUUUGAAGACUUUGGUGAAGGUGGUUACCAUUGUAGUUUUAUACCCGUAUGGUGCAGGGACUUUGAAUAUGCUCAGGUGUCAUGGAUUACCAAUGAAGGCGGUUAGCUUGGUAUUUCACUCAAUUCAUGAAAGAGCGUUUGUUAUAGCUUUGUUAAGUCGGUGCAUCUUGGACAUUAAUUUGUCUUAAAUCCUAAAAUUUAAUGGCCACUGUUUAAGAAAGUAACCAUUGUUUAAUGUUUUGUUGCAGAUGUAUCCCAAAGGAACUCGUAUUACCUUCUUUAAUUACAAGCCUCUAAUUGGUUGACUACAUUGUGUUGAGAUGGUUUCCUUUAAAUAAGCAGGUCAACAUUAAUUUCUAUUUGUACAGAAAGAAAUGUGCUUCUCCUUGACACAGUUCUUGGUACAGCUGCUCAUCCAUCUGCUAGAGCUCAUUAUGGCUGUCAAUAUGCUUCUGUGAUGGUUCAGUGGCACUCAGCAGUGCUCUACAUGUCAGUCAGCAUAUGAUAUGAUAUGUAGGAUACUUUUUCAUCUCUUACCACGGUAAAUGAUAAAGGAUUUUCGUAUAUUGAAAUGUCAGCUUAAGUUCUAUUUGAUGUCCAACUUUUUAAAGGUAUCGCAUCAGAAACUAAAAAAUUGCUUAGGGAUCUUAAACAUCAGGUCAGUACAGCUGUGCUCAUCCAUCUGCUGGAGCUCAUUAAUAUACCUCGUCCACCGAGCGGGUUUGGAGUUUUAAAGAACAUAAGCUGAAAGUUGGUUGCAACAUGGUUAAAUGAUUUAUAGCCAUUCUAAUGAAAAUACGGGUCAUAACUUUAAUACUGGACAAAAUAUGAGAAGGAGAUCCUUAGCAGGUCAAGUAAAUCGUCUUUGGAAGAAGAACAAACAAUUUUUGUGUAUUGAGGUUGGAAAGGAGUAGAGGAAUACUCGGCUGCGGAUAUGGAUGGCAUUCGUGAAGAUUGAUCGACUUAUGCGGUUAACUCUAUUUUUAAGUUAUAAAUCGUAUUUUAGGUGUUGAUAAUGUAUUGACAAACAAUUCUUUUUUUGUUAACGUUAAAAUAUUUGUAGUAUACUUGACAAAUGAUUAUGUAAUGGAUUGUUUUGGUAUA